rnacentral:lncRNA from 1 species
CUCCUGCAGGCAGGGAUAGAGGCAAAGAUCUCCCUAGACACCCACAAACAUACUGACUAGAACUGUUUCUGUUUGGCCUUGAGUAGGCCACCUCACCUCUCUGGGGCUCAGCUUCCUCUUCCAUAACUUGGAAAUGGUAACAAGUGUCCACUUACUUUGAGAAGGAUAGUAGUAAGAUUAUGUCUAUGACUGGCCCUUGGUCAUAAUGGAGGGACUGCUGGGGUGGUAGAGAGGUUAUCCUCCUUAUUCAAGUCCUCGCCUGGGAUUUCUUCAGUCUCCCCUUGCAGACCAGAGGAGGCGUCCAGGCUUGCCCACCCCAGUUCUCCACAUCCUGCGUUCCCUCUGUGACUGGUCAGUCAGCACAGGACAGGUUCUGGGGCAGCCAUGGAUGGAUAGGCACCAGGCACUCGAGGAGCCACUUUCAUCAUUUUGAAUGCUGUGCCACCACUGAAAGAACAGGACCCAUCUUCUGCUGGCCAUCCAAAGUGGACAACAUUGUCGCUGAGCAUGACAAAGGGAAUAUCCAGUCCAGAGAGGAGGGAGCGGUCUCCCCAGGUGAGAUCAGACUAGAGAGCUAUUGGUGGGAAAAGGAUGAGGAGAGGGAAAGGAAAAGCAUGCCCCUCCCUUCCCCUCUUUUCCACCCUCAUUCCCUCCUGACUCAUCUAAAAUCC